CGCGGGGUGGAGCAGUUCGGUAGCUCGUCGGGCUCAUAACCCGAAGGUCGCAGGUUCAAAUCCUGCCCCCGCAACCAAA
rnacentral:tRNA from 1 species